AGAGUUUGAUCAUGGCUCAGGACGAACGCUGGCGGCGUGCUUAACACAUGCAAGUCGAGCGGAAAGGCCCACUCGUGGGUACUCGAGCGGCGAACGGGUGAGUAACACGUGAGUAAUCUGCCCUUCACUUGGGGAUAACGUCCAGAAAUGGGUGCUAAUACCCGGUAUUCCUGUGUGCACGCAUGUGUGUGUGGGGAAAGGUUUUUCUGGUGGGGGAUGUGCUCGCGGCCUAUCAGCUUGUUGGUGGGGUAAUGGCCUACCAAGGCUUUGACGGGUAGCCGGCCUGAGAGGGUGGCCGGCCACACUGGGACUGAGACACGGCCCAGACUCCUACGGGAGGCAGCAGUGGGGAAUAUUGGACAAUGGGCGGAAGCCUGAUCCAGCAACGCCGCGUGAGGGAUGACGGCCUUCGGGUUGUAAACCUCUUUCACCAUUGACGAAGCUGCAUCUUUUUGGGUGUGGUGACGGUAGGUGGGGAAGAAGCACCGGCCAACUACGUGCCAGCAGCCGCGGUAAUACGUAGGGUGCGAGCGUUGUCCGGAAUUAUUGGGCGUAAAGGGCUCGUAGGCGGUUUGUCGCGUCGGGAGUGAAAACCUCGGGCUUAACUCGGGGCUUGCUUUCGAUACGGGCAGACUAGAGGUAUGCAGGGGAGAACGGAAUUCCUGGUGUAGCGGUGAAAUGCGCAGAUAUCAGGAGGAACACCGGUGGCGAAGGCGGUUCUCUGGGCAUGAUCUGACGCUGAGGAGCGAAAGUGUGGGGAGCGAACAGGAUUAGAUACCCUAGUAGUCC
rnacentral:rRNA from 1 species